AUGGCGCCGGUGACGAAAAAGAGUGUUUCUUCGGGUUGGAAAGGAAAUGGAGAGUCGGAAAAGCCGAAGGCGCGUUUGGGCCAGAAGAGGCCGUGGAGGAGGGACCCUCGUCAAGUAAAAGGGAGCGUCCAGGAGGGUAAAGGCUUUGCUUAUUGGAGAAAACAAAAGAUCCGACAUGAUUAUAAGAAAUUACUAAAAAAGGAAAGCAAUGUAAAUUCCAAGAAGAUUGAGUACACAGAAGAUUACCCAGAACACUUGAAGCAUCUUUAUUUAGCCGAAGAAGAAAUGCUUAAGAAACAACAGAAACCUAGAAAAAUUAGUGAAGGUAUACAGGAAGGAAAGGACUCUAUAACACCAAAAUUCAGUAGAGUUGGGAGACAAUUAAAAAUAAAAACAGCAAACCAGAAAGCAAAAGAAGAUUAUGAGAAGAUAAAGGCAGAGCGAGAUCGGAAAAAAGAGGUACUUAUCAGCUUCACUACUUUGCUUGGCUUAGUCUAUGUCCCUUCAUCUCAACUGAACUGAUAGCUUCCCCUUCACUUAAAGAAGAUGUGCUGCAAACUGCUUUGUUUUCCAAUAAACUGAACAUUCUAAAUUGUAACAUCCACUUGGCAGUGAACAUCAAAAACAUCAUUGCUAUUCAUACAAUACAAUAUCGUGGAGCCUCCGGUGGAGUAGUGGAUUAAAGCCUCAUGACUUGAAGGUUGGGUUGCUGACCUGAAGGCUGCCAGGUUCGAAUCCCACCAGGGGAGAGCUCCAUGUGGGGACAUGAGAGAAGCCUCCCACAAGGAUGGUAAAAACAUCAAAACAUCCAGGCGUCCCCUGGGCAACGUCCUUGCAGACGGCCAAUUCUCUCACUCCAGAAGCGACUCAAGUUGCUCCUGACACGGAAAAAAAUAUAUAAUAUCUACGAACACGAGGAAGUGUGUCCUGCUUAAGACCAGCAUUUACAACAGAGAAUACUACCAUUAUGACUACAAAGUAUCCAAAGACAUUUGUAAGCAAAGUUCAAGUGGGCUGAAACAACUCAAAGACCAGCACAGAGAAAUAAGUUUUCUGACGGGGCAGAUAGAAGACAGGUCUUUGGGUUACAAAAGCUACAUUUCAAUUAAAUCACAAAAUUCAGAGUAUAGGGUUGUGUGUUUUUGAGGGGCCAAAGCACUCUUCUAUCCUUCUUUUAUCCCAAGGUCUCAAGUUUAUAAUUUUACCACCAUGGAGCUUUGCAAAGGUUUCUCAAGGCAAUGAAAUACCAAGGUAUUCUUUCUCUGCUUUAGACGUGCAAAUUGAAGUCAAGCAUUAUAAUGGUUAUAAAAGGAGCCUGUGAGAUAUUGUGUGACCAGAUUCAACUUAGAGUAAUGUAUUUGCAAUGCCAUGGCAACUACAAAAGUACGUUUCAGAAGUACCUUAUGUAGCUUUUAGUACACAAUAUGCACCAAGGUUCCGUAAAGUAAUGAAACAGUAAGUCCUGUGGGUGAAGGACACAAAAAUGGAAUGCAGUGCCUAAACUUAUAAUAAACACUAAUCUAGGUGCUUUUUAAGAAAUGACAAGAAGGGAAGACUGUUUUUGUGAAGUUCUAUUUUUGUUUCAGUUUUUGAAGUUAAUGAGAAGGGAAGAAAACCACAUUCCUUCCUCAUAUUUCCAGGAGGAACUGUGGGUGAAUAUCUGGUUAGAAAUGUUAACAGUUUUCAUUACCAUUAAAAAAUGACUGUAUAUUAAGUAUUUGGUAUCAAAAUGCAGAUUGUAGAUUUGCCCAUCUCUUCAUUAUGUUUGGAAGCAACAGAUUGGAUGUACACUUGGUUUGUGGUCUAGCAAGUGCACCAAUCUGUAUGAGGGAUUAUACCUCAAGCAUGAGAUAUAGAUUCCUAAUAGGUUUAUCAUUUUUGGGAAAAAUUACAGUGAAUUUGUAAAACUACCAUUAUUUUUUUAAUAAAGCCAAACCAAAAAGAAAGAACAAACACAACAGGAUAGGGAGAUUGAUUAUAAAAACUCAUGGUAAGACAAGUUUACCAUUGUUACAAUAGGGCAGCAAGUAUCAUAUUUUCAAACAUACAUGCAUACUUACCGAUACAUUUGUGGGAAAAUAUGCACAUUUUCUGUGCCUUCACUCAUCAAAAUAACUCAUGUUGAUGAAUUCCACCCACCCAACUUGAUUAAAUUCUGAGUUGAUUCAUUCUCAUGUGGUACAUACCUACACAUAUUGAGCUUUGCUACAUGGACAAAAGAAUAGAUAUGGUUCUAUUUUGUAUAAUGUUUUAUUAUGAACAAAUUGUUAGUGAGAGGAGAGGCAACAACUAUUUUUAGAUGCUCCUUCACCUUGGAUUUCUGCAGAUGUGAACUCUUCUUUGUUCAUUAGCCUAUAAUAAUCCACAGUAUUAGUCCCAGAAAUAAACCAAGGACUGUAUCUUCUAAAUGAAAGGGUAGGAAAAUCGUGAUUCUGCAGAUGUUGCUGGAUGAUAACUCGCAUUAUCCCUAGGAGUAGCCCAUGUUAUCUUGGACAUGUGAAUUAGAGUCCCACCUUGAAAGGCCAUGGAUUUUCUGCCUCUGAUUCAAUAAAAAAAUUAAAACACAGUUCUUCACCACUUUAAAAAAAUAUGCCUGGAACCAGUAUUGCUGAUUUUGGGAGCUGGAGUUAUGCAUUCCUCUUCCUGAUUAUGCAUUCCUCUUCCUGAUUAAUUUAUUAGGAGGAUUUUUUUAAAAAAAAUACAAUCCUUUUGGUUACAGUGAGCCAUGAAAAUCUCAUGUAUGCUCAAAAAUCUUUAUUUCAGAAGGCUAAAAUAUAGAAAGAUAGCACUUGGCUUUUGCAUGUCCUCUCACCUGCCAUUUUCCUCCCUUUGAUGCACCCGCUGGGAAAAUUUCUAAGGGCACCUAAGUGAAUGCUAAUGUAGUCAUUAAUCCUUGGCAGGAAAUAUUCUGUCUCAUGUUGCCUUCUUUAACAGGAAGGUGUAAACCUUUUUGUGGGACUUCUGUUUCCAAGUUAUUUGUUGCAAAUCAGCAUCUUCAUAGGCUUUAUCCAAUCACCAACUGAAAAUUAAUGACAUAAUGUUUCUCCUAUCUGCCUUGUGUCAAUGGAACAUUAAUCAAUGUAGUUAAUCCCCCUCCCUCCUACAGCCCCUCUAUGCACCUUUAGCAUUUGUUAAAGAAGGCUGGAACAACUACUGGUACACACUGUUUCUGUUACAGAAAAUUUGAGUACAAUGGACAGAGGGGAGUCCCCAGGCAUUGAAUACCCAAAUAUACCAUUGAGGAGUGUGGAGGAAGGAAACAGACGUGUCUUCAGUCAGUCCCAGAGUUCCAGGCUUUGACAAGCCAUCUCAAGUCAAUACCUCAACCAGUUACCUUAAUUGAUUACCUCAACCAGUUACCUCAACCAGUAUCUUUCACCAACCAACAGUUAAAAAGCAACUGGUUAUCACCUUUGGGUAAAAGGUAUCUCAGAGGCCUCUACACCAGAGACUGAGAACAAGGAAAAUUGUCGUCUAUUCUCCUCAGGAAAACAGUCAUCUAUUCUCUUCAGGAAAGCUGUUAUCUAUUCUCCUCAGGAAAGCUGUCAUCUUCAACUCCUCAGAAACAUCCAUGUCUGGAAACUUCAGAAUCAUUAAGUUAUCUUUCAAGUUUUAAAUAUGAACUCUGUUGUGGGGAAACCAAGUUAGUGUCUGGGUGGAAUUAAACCCAAGUCCUGUUAAUAAAUCAUUAUCAUUUCACUAAAAGCAACAGUGUGGGCAUUAAUUCUUUGGGGUUCCUUGUUCUUAAAGAAGUCCAGCAUCCCCCAAGCUGACAGAAAGUUUAGACAUGUUAACGCCAAAGUUACCUUAACAGCAGCUUAACAGAACAAACAUAAUGCUGUACUUAAUAGCUUCCCUAGAAAAUCUGCAUAAAUUUCUACUCAUAUCAGCCUCUAUCAUGUUCUGGGGAUCGUAAUUAUCCUUUACCCCUCAUUCAUUCUGGUGUAGCUCUGCUUAAUACCUUUGCAUGUUUCCCCUCAGCUUCUUUAAUCAUCCUCAGCCAUAUCUCUCCUUUUGUCUUCUUGGCAUGGGACCAAUUCUCACUUCCUGCCAAGUGCCAUAGAUACUACAAAAUGCUUGUCCUGCAGUUGUAACUUUGUUACUUGAUAUAGGCAGCAGCAGAGCUUGCUUUGAACAGCUUUCUAUAAAUAGAAUAGGGAUGCUGUAAUAGCUAGCCUACUGCUUCUGCCAGACAGAUUUUCUCUCUCCUGAUUGGAAUCCUGAAGUGACUUCUCCAGCAAGCAGUCAUUUUAGGGUACUUGAUUAGUAUUUUACAUUGUUCCAAACAAUGAUAUACUGUACUUAUGAAUGUACAUUUUAUCCUUAUAUUGUUCAAUAAUUUUUCCCAUGUCAUACCAUGACUCUCAAAUUGUUAUAUCAAAUUUAUUUUCUUUUGUGUUUUAACUUGAUUGCGGAAAUUUUGAAGCAUGCUUUCUGUUGCAAAUAUUUUUCUGGAGUAGAGGAAAUUAUAUUUUGCAAAUAAUUUGUUUAUGCAUGCAUAUGUAAGUGAAGUAUGAAGAGAUAUAUCCACACAAAUAAAUACAUAUAUCCUUCUAUUCUAAACAGAAGCAGGAGCAAUAACAUUACUUAGCAAUUCUACAAGUUAAAUAUCUUUCAAAGUGAUGAUGUUUUGAGGUUUCUUGGUGUGCAUGCCAUCUGUGCCCCCUGAACUACAUUGCAGUGUGACUUCAACAAAGAGCAGCUUCAUGGUUUAUUAAUAUCUAUUUUGUAACCCACCCACCUUCAAAUUGGCCAUAAGAAAGCCACACUUGAUGUGGCCUGCCCACAAGAGAUAAAAAGAAUUUGGAAGAUUAAACAGAAUCCUUGCAAGAGCAGACUUACUGAAUUCCAGGGAAUUUGCUAUAUUAUUACUUAGGUGUUGUUACAGACCAAGCUGAUUUUGUCACCAAUAUUAAGGCCAAAAAAAUAUACCCUUCAAAUGAGCCUCUGUCUUUUCUGGAUUUCAUUUCUGUUUCUUCAUCUUCAUCCAGUCUAUUGUGGAUGCCAGGCACUACUUUGUAAGCCAAAAGGUUCACUUGCAAUUUAAUGGAUACAGUUGGCUAUCAUCAGAAUAUUGUCAUCAACAAAAAGCAGCCUCUUCUAGUAGGUUUGUGUGCACAUGGAAAGUGCAGGAAACAAAAUAGAACUCUAAGGGACUACACAAACCAGUAGUCACAGAGUUGAACAGGAGUUACCCAGCAACACUUUCUGGCCUUAUCUCUCCAGGCUCGAACAAAGCACUGAAAAACAAUGCCUCCUAGUCCUAUUCCAGGAAAAUGUCCUAGAAGGUUGCUAUGGUUAAUGGUGUCAAAGGACCCUGAGAAGUCCAACAGGGCCAACAGAAACUUCUGCUCAGUCUCAGUGUAGGUAUCAACUAAACUUACAAAGGCCGUCUCUGUCCCAUCAUCAGUUAUGAAACCAGAUUGAAAUGGACCAAGAUAAUCAAUGAAACUCUAAAACUUGCAUGUUACCACAUGUUCCACUACCUUGUUCAAAAAUGGAAUGUUGGACACUGGACAAUAAUUAUCCAGUACAGAAGUAUCUGCUUUAAUAGAGCUUUAAUAGAGUAUCUGCUUUAAUAGAGCUUUAAUAGAGUCCUUACAACCGCCUUCUUAAGGUAUUCUGGAACCCUCCUUGUGAUGAAGAAUUAGUAACUCCAUUCAUCAAAUUGGCUAGUAUGCUUCUGGACUGUUUAAAAAACCAAGAAGAGGAAGAUCUAGCAUGGAACACAGAAAUGAAUUCAUGACAUAAAGGAAAUUUCUAGCUAUUUUAACAAAGUCGCAUCCUCAAGGCACAGUGAUCAGAUAGUCACUCAUAAAAUACUCCUAGGAUUGCAAGAUGGACCUAUUCCCCACUUCUUCCCCAUUUCCCUUCUUGCAUGUUUUCCACAGAAAAGACAUUGUUUUGGCUUCUUGCCCUUUCCAAAGUUUUAUCCCUAAAUAAAUCAUUAAAUGGGAUAGGUUUCAGCUCCAUAAACUGCACUGAGAAGCUCACUUCAUCUGAAGAAGUAGCUAAACUAGUCAAAAAGACAGUUGUGUUGCUCCAACUACAGCCAAGUGUAGUCUACAUUCCUGUGAUAAAACCUGCUGUGCUUUAUGCAUUUGUUCCCCUCCCCACGAAAGCCUGAAGCUUUGAUACAACAUGACAUGCAUAAUAAGCUACCAAAUUUUCAUAGGUGAGAAACCAAGAUGCAAAUAUAAUGCUCUAUUCCUGCAAAUGCUGUACUCAUCUUGUAAUAAAAAAUUCCCAGAUGAUUUGAUAUUACCGUAUUUAAUUAAAAUAUAAACUGUAGAACACAACAUAAAGAUUAUAAUAUAUAAUUCAAAAAGUUAUAUGUAUUAGAAAAAAAAUCUAAUGCCAAGCAAAAUGCCCAUUCAAAUGUGAACAAAAAGAGGAGAAUGCCUGCAUUUCUAUCCACACUGAACACUGAGCAGAUGUAACAGCAAAUAACCUCCUAGCAAGUGCACUGUCUAAUAUAAUCAGAAUAACAGGAAGCCAAAGACUCCAACUAGACCUGGGAUGAUGUCAUAUCUAAGGUCUCUGUUUUGAUUGGAUUACAUAAAGGAAGCCCUAUCAGCAUCUUUGCUUUUACUGGACAGCUGAUAGGGUUGGGCAGAGCUAGGAAGAGAAUAUAAGAAGCCAAGAGGCAGUAGCAAUCAAAAUCUCUGCAUGCAUUUAGACCUCACUCUGGUUUCAAUUGUGUGCUUUUGAAUUCUUCUUCCAUUAUUUUUAGUUAUAACAUUUUAAUUGCAUUUAAUCAAUUUAAGCCACAUUGAGUCUCCUCAAAGUAAUAAAGUGGGGAAUAAUAAUAAUAAUUUUAUAAGGCAAUCCAUUUAAUGAUUUUAAUGAUUGUUUUUACUGAUGUUGAUGUUUUUUACUGGGAUAAUUUUUUUAUUGCUUUGUUACUGUUAUUUGUUUGUUUUAUAGGGCCAGGCCCCAUGUAAGCCACGCCAAGUCCCUUCGGGGAGAUGGGGUGGGGUAUAAAAAUAAAGUUGUUGUUGUUGUU